rnacentral:sRNA from 1 species
AGUCGCUCAUUCACCUUGAUAUGACAGCGUCACACGCUAGGCAAUACGACCGCUCCAUAUCUGCCGAAUGAUGCCAAUGUAUGGUGCCUACUGUCCAACGUAACCGUUAAUCGCUGCCUUGGCGGCGAUUAACAAUCACAGGGCGACACGUUGAGUGAGGCACCUCCUA